rnacentral:rRNA from 1 species
ACGGAGGGUGCAAGCGUUGCUCGGAUUUACUGGGCGUAAAGCGCACGCAGGCGGUCCGCAAGGUCGGGUGUGAAAGCCCGGGGCUCAACCCCGGAACUGCACUCGAAACCGUCGGACUUGAGGUCGAGAGAGGAGGGUAGAAUUCCUGGUGUAGAGGUGAAAUUCGUUGAUAUCAGGAGGAAUACCGGUGGCGAAGGCGGCCCUCUGGCUCGAUUCUGACGCUCAUGUGCGAAAGCGUGGGGAGCAAACAGG